GAAAAACUAGUUAAUACUAUAACAUAAGAUUGUCAUUCUUAAAUUACUUUUGUGUUUUUUA
rnacentral:tRNA from 1 species